AGUGAACGCUGGCGGUAGGCCUAACACAUGCAAGUCGAACGGCAGCACAGAGGAGCUUGCUCCUUGGGUGGCGAGUGGCGGACGGGUGAGGAAUACAUCGGAAUCUACUCUGUCGUGGGGGAUAACGUAGGGAAACUUACGCUAAUACCGCAUACGACCUACGGGUGAAAGCAGGGGACCUUCGGGCCUUGCGCGAUUGAAUGAGCCGAUGUCGGAUUAGCUAGUUGGCGGGGUAAAGGCCCACCAAGGCGACGAUCCGUAGCUGGUCUGAGAGGAUGAUCAGCCACACUGGAACUGAGACACGGCCCAGACUCCUACGGGAGGCAGCAGUGGGGAAUAUUGGACAAUGGGCGCAAGCCUGAUUCAGCCAUACCGCGUGGGUGAAGAAGGCCUUCGGGUUGUAAAGCCCUUUUGUUGGGAAAGAAAUCCAGCUGGCUAAUACCCGGUUGGGAUGACGGUACCCAAAGAAUAAGCACCGGCUAACUUCGUGCCAGCCGCCGCGGUAA
rnacentral:rRNA from 1 species